rnacentral:misc_RNA from 1 species
AAGUCGUAACAAGGUUUCCGUAGGUGAACCUGCGGAAGGAUCAUUACCGAGUUCAUGCCCUUACGGGUAGAUCUCCCACCCUUUGUAUACUAUACCUUUGUUGCUUUGGCGGGCCGCCUAGCUACUGGCUUCGGCUGGUAAGUGCCCGCCAGAGGAUCCAAAACCCUGAAUUAUUAGUGUCGUCUGAGUAAAAUAUUUAAUAUUUAAAACUUUCAACAACGGAUCUCUUGGCUCUG